rnacentral:rRNA from 1 species
CCUACGGGAGGCAGCAGUGAGGAAUAUUGGUCAAUGGCCGUAAGGCUGAACCAGCCAAGUAGCGUGAGGGAAGACUGUCCUAUGGGUUGUAAACCUCUUUUAUGCGGGGAUAAAGGUGUCCACGUGUGGCUGUUUGAAGGUACCGCAUGAAUAAGGACCGGCUAAUUCCGUGCCAGCAGCCGCGGUAAUACGGAAGGUCCGGGCGUUAUCCGGAUUUAUUGGGUUUAAAGGGAGCGUAGGCCGGUCUUUAAGCCUGCCGUGAAAUUUUGUGGCUCAACCAGGAGAGUGCGGCGCAAACUGGAGACCUAGAGUGGGAGAGAGGCAUGCGGAAUUCGAGGUGUAGCGGUGAAAUGCUUAGAUAUCACGAAGAACCCCGAUUGCGAAGGCAGCCUGCCGCAUCGAUACUGACGCUGAGGCACGAAAGCGCGGGUAUCGAACAGGAUUAGAUACCCUAGUAGUC